rnacentral:rRNA from 1 species
AGAGUUUGAUCAGGGCUCAGAUUGAACGCUGGCGGCAGGCUUAACACAUGCAAGUCGAGCGGCAGCGGAAAGAAGCUUGCUUCUUUGCCGGCGAGCGGCGGACGGGUGAGUAAUGUCUGGGGAUCUGCCCGAUGGAGGGGGAUAACUACUGGAAACGGUAGCUAAUACCGCAUAAUGUCGCAAGACCAAAGUGGGGGACCUUCGGGCCUCACACCAUCGGAUGAACCCAGAUGGGAUUAGCUAGUAGGUGGGGUAAUGGCUCACCUAGGCGACGAUCCCUAGCUGGUCUGAGAGGAUGACCAGCCACACUGGAACUGAGACACGGUCCAGACUCCUACGGGAGGCAGCAGUGGGGAAUAUUGCACAAUAGGGGAAACCCUGAUGCAGCCAUGCCGCGUGUGUGAAGAAGGCCUUCGGGUUGUAAAGCACUUUCAGCGGGGAGGAAGGCAAUGGCGUUAAUAGUGUCAUUGAUUGACGUUACCCGCAGAAGAAGCACCGGCUAACUCCGUGCCAGCAGCCGCGGUAAUACGGAGGGUGCGAGCGUUAAUCGGAAUUACUGGGCGUAAAGCGUACGCAGGCGGUCUGUUAAGUCAGAUGUGAAAUCCCCGGGCUUAACCUGGGAACUGCAUUUGAAACUGGCAGGCUAGAGUCUCGUAGAGGGGGGUAGAAUUCCAGGUGUAGCGGUGAAAUGCGUAGAGAUCUGGAGGAAUACCGGUGGCGAAGGCGGCCCCCUGGACGAAGACUGACGCUCAGGUACGAAAGCGUGGGGAGCAAACAGGAUUAGAUACCCUGGUAGUCCACGCUGUAAACGAUGUCGAUUUGAAGGUUGUGGUCUUGAGCCGUGGCUUUCGGAGCUAACGCGUUAAAUCGACCGCCUGGGGAGUACGGCCGCAAG